ACUCACUUCCUUAGCAACGAGCGUCUCGACCCGGAAGUAUUUUCUUGUCCUUUAGCUGACAGCUGUAGACCGCACAGAGUCGAGAAAGUGACAGUAAAGUUUGUUUUAAGUAAAAAAUGUCAGGUUUAGCAGCUAUUCUUAGCUUUUCGGCCCAUGUCCGCUAACAUAAUGGACAAAAAGAGUUGUGUCGCUGAAAUGAGAAGAAGGAAGACUGUUUGCCAGGACAAUGAUUUCCCCACGACUGCGUGACAGGCAGUGAUCGGCUUGUCAAGUUAUGCAGGGGUUAUGGAAAGUCUAAUCAGUUAUGCUGAAGAACAGCCACCUUCCUCUCUGAUGACCAACUCCUCGUCCCUAAAACAGGAGUCAAACGAGAGCGGCAGCCCAAAAUGUGUGGGAGGAUUUGUUUUAGUACACGCAGGUGCAGGAUAUCACUCUGAGUCUAAGGCCAAGGAGUACAAGCAUGUUUGUAAAAGAGCCUGCCAGCGAGCUGUGGACCAACUGAGAGCUGGAGCACUUGCAGUGGAAGCAGUGACUGCAGCUCUGGUUGAACUCGAGGACUCUCCCUUUACAAACGCUGGCCUGGGCUCCAACCUUAAUUUGUCAGGAGAAAUUGAAUGUGAUGCAAGCAUCAUGGAUGGAAAGUCGCUGCACUUUGGUGCAGUGGGAUCUAUCAGUGGCAUUAAGAACCCAGUCCUGGUUGCCAACUGUCUGCUGAACGAAGCACAGAAAGGGAAGCUAUCAGCUGGGAGAAUACCACCUUGCUUUCUAGUGGGGCCAGGAGCUCACGAUUGGGCAGUCAGCCAUGGAAUACCUCCGUGUCCUUCAGAGAAAAUGGCUACAAGGUUCAGUUUGUCUGCCUACAAAAGGAACAAACGGAAGAUGGAGCUGGCGGAGGGAACGGUCCCAGGACAAAAUCGGACUAAGAAAAGACGACAAUCAAGUGAAAAUGGAAAUGGCUCAGGGUGCCUGGACACGGUGGGAGCUGUGGUGGUGGACUUGGAAGGGAACGUCGCUGCAGCUGUGUCCAGCGGAGGCCUUGCUAUGAAACACCCCGGCAGGAUUGGCCAGCUGUUUUUCUACCCUCAGGCUGCGCAUUAUGGAUGUGGCUGCUGGGCUGAAAAUUCCGGCAACAUGAACCCUUACUCUACAGCAGUGAGUACCUCAGGGUGUGGAGAGCAUCUGAUUCGCACCAUGCUGGCUCGGGAAUGCGCCGCUGCCAUGCAGUCUGAAGAUGCCCACCAAGCGCUGCUGGAGGCUAUGCAAAACAAAUUCAUCAGCUCGCCCUUUCUCACCAGUGAGGAUCGUGUUUUGGGUGGAGUCAUUGUCUUGAGGUGCUGCAGAUGUGUGGAAGCACAGCCAUCUCCAAAUAUUCAGGGUAUCUUGGUGGAGUUUCUAUGGAGUCACACAACAGAGAGCAUGUGUGUUGGCUACAUGUCUGCACAAGACAGCAAAGCAAAGAUGGGAGCGAGUCGAAGAGACUGUGUCCAGGGUGAGACGUGUCAGCCGUUAUCCGACCUGCACGCCUCACGGUCCUGGAGGAGGACUGGUUCUGUAUGGAGGGGAGUUGGCAGCCAGUGACCUUCUCCGCAGACACGCUGCAGUCUUGUCAUGUCCCUGGUGGUGGCUCCAGCAUACCACACAGUGAUUGAAGAGACUCACAUAUCCAGAUUGCCACCUGGGACAGUUCCUGGCCAGUCUUUGGCCAUCGAGGGAGGGGUGUGUCGGCUGAAGGGUGUGGUGGAAUGAAUGGCUUUCUCUUCUCUCUUCCUCGAUUCUUCUUGGGCUUCCUUAGCAAUACUCCCAUAUGAAUUAAACACACACACACACACACACACACACACACACACACACACACACACACACACACACACACACAUACACACACACACACACACACACACACACACACACCCUUCCUACAGCCUUUGCAGGUAUAACGAGAUAACAAGCUUUCAUUGUGUUAACAGGUGUUCAGGAAGGACUGUGAAGCGUUAGCUUCUACUUAGUGCACUUACAGGACUUCCCUUUGCAGUUUUCUGCCUCCAGCGGUAUACUUACUUACCCCUGAGCUCUCCAAUGUCUCCUGGAUCAAACUUGAUGCACCAUUUAUUCUCUGUUACCUAUUUAGACGGCUAAAAGGGUAUCCCUUCUUUUGUACAUAAGCUAUAAUUUAAGGAAACAGGGUGGAUGUUUGAGUUAUUUUGUGUUGCUGAACAAAUAUGUUCACACUUUCCAAAUGUAAGACAUCUUUUGCUAGCACUUUACAAUAAUUAUCCCUUUAUUAACAGAACUUAGUGCAUUAUUAAGCAGUAAUAAACAAAGGAUCCCUUUAUUAAUGCUCCCGAUAUUGUUAACUAUUAAGCGUCUUUAAGGUUAGGACAAGGGGGGUGUCUGCUUAGUAAUGUAUUACUUAAUAUUAUCAUUGAUAUUAAUUAAUUAAUACUUUAAUAAUGUGUAAUAAUGCACUAAGUAACAUCCAUAAAGGAACCCUUAUUGUUAAGUGUUACCACAUCUUUUCUUGUUAAUAAACUCUUCAGUAUAAAAAAGGCUGUCCUUGUGGGAGGCCAACACAAAUCUUUGGCUCAUAAUAAUUUAUAGCUGUGAUGGCUGAAGAGAUUAUGGCAUUAACACAACUAAAUCAACUUUCAUGUGUUCUUAUAAAUCGAUGUAACAUAAUGUUUCUUUGUGAUUCCAGCCAUAGGAGGCGUUGCUUCUUUUAAAGAUGUUAAUAUCUAGAUUCUGCAUGUAGAAUAUCUGCAGUAAGCCACUUUCUUUGGGGGAGUUGAUGUAUUAGAAGGAAGCUAUGCACUUCCAGAGUAAUGACUAUCACUCGUCAUUUCCAAAUCAGUUAUAUUUCUAUAGCUCUAUCGACAGAGACAUGUAUCUUCUUGCAAGAAAAAUACACACACACACACACACACACACAUAUAUAUAUAGGCCCAUGAAAUGGUGCUUUCAGCUGUACUUGAAAAGAUGAAUUGUCUGAUUUUUUCUUCGUUCUCUUAAAAAGAAUUCUGCUCCUGAAACAAAAGAAACACAGUCAAGCUUUUUAUUUGAAUUUGCAUUAGAAAAAUGUAGUUAAUGGUAAGUGUCAUAAGCUUGGGAGGUCAUGUGUGCAACACUCGGCAGUGCUAAGAAACUGAAUAAAAUCAAAUGGUUGAA